AAACCCCCUUGGCACUACACGAGCUAUUUUUACAACGUAAAUACAAUUACCGCGGAUACACACAAAAAAGCACGUGGGUCCAGGACGAUGUACACAACGCACGCCUUCGGUGCCAAGGUUAGGGGCUUGCCCUCCUUACGCAGGGAAUCCCCAACAUUUUGAGGUCUGGAAGUCGUAAAGAGGAAUAUUUUUUGAUCUGCAGAGCAAAUGUAGGAUAUACUCUUGCUACUCCGAAAGGAUUUAUUCUGUUUGGAUGCUUGGUGGCGAAGAUCGAAGGGGUAUUCCGAGGAAUCACUUCGGGAGAUAUUGCACGGUGAGUCGACCCUGUGUACAUGUACAUGCAGUCAUCAUCCCACUCACGGAUCUAUACGCGCGUGCUUAUCUGUGGAUCAUUAUGCAUUUUUAUUUCAUCGUGUGUCCUACAAGAGUUUCAUCUUGCCCUCUGUAAGCGAAGAAGGAAAAACCCAAUAUUUUUCUAUGCAGCAAGACUACCUUUGAGAUACAAUAACAACAAAGAAACCACGGGGAAAUUUGUUGAUUUUUUUUUCAUAUCUACUUUGGCAACAGUAACGCUGAGUGGAAUUACUGUAGCGGCUGAUAUUUUAAACAAUGGACAUAUGGAUUGGAGCAAAAAAAAAAGAGCUUACUGGAAAAUAUUGGAAUUAAAUGCCACGAAACGAGGUGACAAAAUGCUGCAACGGAAUGCUUCAAUGCUCCUAGCCCCUCACGGAAUGUAGUGUUUCCUGCAGGAAUUCUGUGCAAUGAAAUAACAUUAAUGGGAUGCAGACUCGGCUUUUGUUCUAGGGAACAAUAGAUUGUGCCUCCUUGCCAGAAAACAAUCGAGCAUGAAAUGCAAAAUUCCAAGCACGGCGGUGUUUCCGAAAAAAAAUCCCCAGAUGAAACUGUGGCUCCGGGAAAUAUUACCAUGUCAACGGUAUAGACAUUUUACCGAAAGACCAUCUCUUGAGCACUCUGAUUUGGAUAUACAUGUACAAAGACAUGUGCCUCAUACAUUGAAACAAUACAGUCCUUGAAUGAAAGUGGCCGUUUGCUUUAAAAUCACACUCUUUAUACUUCGGAAUAUUUGAUUUGAAAUUAUUCUGUCAUCAGUGGAGAUGGAAGCCUCGAUAAAACUAUCUGAAUUUAAGGGCCAGAUUUGCAUAACAAUGCAAGAUGAUAACCAAACAAUGAAACAUAACAUCAAUUCAAGACAAAUACCUGAACACUGAGGAUGCCUCACUUCUGACGAGUAAUAAGAACGCGUCAUUACUGCAUCAGUAUUUCUUCAAUUUGAAGAAUCUGUAGAAUCCCAUCUCGAUAAAUAAUCCUGCUACAUUUUGCUUAAGCGGAUAAACAAGACUUGGAAAAACUAAUUAUAUAUUGUUUCAUAUCUAUUUCGCUCUAUAGAAACCACCAGUACCGCCGACGUGCAAAAAAAGGAAAAGGAAAAAAUGGUAUUCAUUUAUUGUCAAUAAACUGUGCGAACGAAUUUUUAAGCAGACAAGGAAGCCGAAUAUUCGAUUGUACUUCCUCUUUUGUACGAGAGUUCAAUUUUCAUCGACAGUCCUGGAAACCGAACGUCAUGGGAAUCCCAGAGAAUGUUGAAAAGUCACAAAAGUGCUCUUAAAGAGGGAGAGAAAACAUAAUUGAUGGUAUUAGAAAGGAUUGGAAUUGCCGAACAUGUGAUCCCAAGCUUCAGAGGCCAUGGCAACUAGAUUUCUUAAUGAACGUGUAGAGCGUGAUUCAUUGUAUUCAACGCUCUUUGUUCACUUCCGGGUGAACCACCACGAGUGGCCUAAGAACAAAAGUGGAAUAUGGAAUAAAAACAGCUACUCACUGAACGACCAGCAAGUACUCAGAUCAGGUGAGCCGCCUGGCUUUAUUAGUCCAGCAGAGGGCGCUGCUUCGAAUCUGAGUCGCGGGAUCAGAAUGCAUCAGGCAUUGUCAGAAACCAGCACAGGUAUCGCCAUGACGAUGGAGGAGCAUCACCCUGGAUGAGAGAUCGCGUGACCCCUGUCCAUUCAGAUGCUGGCCUCAUCCUCAUCUUCCCUCAGUAUCCUCGUCCUCCUGUGGUGUCAGUGACGAGGAGCAAUUGCCAACUGCAAAAGAUUGUACCAUGCCCAGCAAUAUCAAGAUGUGCGUUAGGUCACUGCGGACACCAAGAAGAUUUCAUGAUGUGUGAACCUGGUAGGCCAUGCCAACGUUGAGCAACUUUCAAUCUUGGAGUGCAUUUCUUGUAGUUAAGAAUUCGCAUGAGUUUUGUUUUUUCACUGACAUAUUUUACAAAUUUGAAACAUUUUGUCGAGUUUAUGCAUUGUUCAAUUUCAUCCAGUUAUUAUUAUUUUUUGCCAUGUACUAAUCACACACAUAAACCAUUUUCUUAGAGUUCAACCCAUCGUUUAUAAGUCAUAAUAACAUGUAUGAGCCAAGUUCAUAAUUUCAUGCAGGUAUAAGAAAAAGUUUAGCAACUUGGGUGUUGCUGAGCAGUGGCCCUGAUGUCAUUACAAAGUUCAUCAGAAGUUAAAUCCGAAGUAAGGCAAUGCAUCUCUGACAGCUAGGAAUAAUUUGUCACUUUACUUGAGCUGGAUAUCUUAUGGCUCACUUAUGGUCCAACAGCAUCCCUCCCCGCAUAUGAUAAACUUGCAGAGUUGAGGCGGGCAGUGUGUUUAUAUGCAGAGAGCUACUUUUAGUUUUCAUAAAAUAUCAUAAAAUCAAUAGACUGUGUCACUUUAAUCUUUAUGGGGGCCCAGAUAUCUUAAUUACGCAUACCUUUCCUCCACUAUUUAAAUCUUAGUAGUGCCAGCAAGACCAGCGUGAUCAAUGAAAAAGAAUGUGUAUGUACAUGGGAUGGGGUGGGUGAGGCUGUUGGUGUGGGGCCACUGUGUAUGCCAUUGCAAGGGGGAAGGGGAUCUGCACAAAGUUGGUAGUUUUUGUUGGCAGAGUUGUGGAUGGCCUGUUUGGGUUCUCCCCUGAUGACUUGGUAAUAACUCACAAUAACUUAAGAUAAAUAACUUAAGAAGGAACACUAAAAAAUACACGGCGGUCAGUGUUGUAGUCGAGACCAGCGCAAGACCAGUCACAAGUAACCGGGUGAACAGUGACAAGAGAAUGCUUUAGUUGGGGUUCAUGUGAAUAGCUUGUGACUUCAAUUCAGACUGGAGGUCAUGUGUUGGUCUUGUGUGGUCUUGUAAAGAUGGUUUCCCCUGCAACACUGACUACAGUUCAGAUGUCGCUCUCACUGUUUAGUCUUUGUAUUUUCUAUUGAUUGUACGUUCCUUUUUACAACACAUUCAUAAGAGCAUGGUGUAAGGUAAGGCAAGUUUGUAGUUACAUUUAAGUAAAUUUGACUCCCUACAGUCCUGAUGAUCUGUUUGAAUUGAGACAUAGUACACUCUUGGCCUUCCUUUUCUUCAUUGAGCUAGAAUUGUGCACUGUUUUCGGCAAUUACGAUGUAGCCGUAGGAGCAUGUCACGACACCUUGGUGCUCAUCGCCCCUUACUUAUUUCAUGUCAGUUAACAAUGGAAGACUUUGAGACGCUGUUGGUAGCAGACAUACCGGUCCCUUUUCAAGGCAUUGUGAAUACUCAUACAGCGCGUGCAUGCUCAGAACUGGUAAAAAGGACCGAUAUGUUUGUCGCCUCCAAGUAUCUCAAAGUCUCAAAUUAAUGUGUGUAAGCCUAUCACUAGAGAUGUCCUGUUGCUUUCUUAAUCAUUCCGUUUGGUGCAUAUUCACAUUAAUUGUAAUUUUGUCACUUUCUGCUUACUAAUGUAAUUAUUUGCUGCAGUUUUUUUUCAUUUACUGGUACAAUUCUGAGUUGUUUAUUAGCUUGCAUACUCAGUAGUUACGACUUAUUGGGUCUACCCAAUUGCAGCUUAUUUGUAAAGUGUACUUCAUGUGAGACCAGUUAUAAAACCUCAUUUAUGUCAGGAUUAAUAUGUCCUUGUUUGGAUAUAGAUGCAGCUGUCUGCUUUCACCGGCUCGUUUUUUAACAUUUUAUGGGACAUGUAUGGUUCAAAACAAUUGAUCAUAAUACACUGCAGUUAUACAUGUAUUACACAUAUCAGGGGAAUAAAUGUCCAUCGGAUCUUUAUUUGAGACUGUGUGUAUGCAGUGUAUAUAGUUGGCUUGUGUGGAUACAUGGCUUUUAUAAAAGAGUUGAGGGGAGUUAAA